rnacentral:rRNA from 1 species
UACGGAGGGGGCUAGCGUUGUUCGGAAUUACUGGGCGUAAAGCGCACGUAGGCGGCUUUGUAAGUUAGAGGUGAAAGCCCAGGGCUCAACCCUGGAAUUGCCUUUAAGACUGCAUAGCUAGAAUCAUGGAGAGGUGAGUGGAAUUCCGAGUGUAGAGGUGAAAUUCGUAGAUAUUCGGAAGAACACCAGUGGCGAAGGCGACUCACUGGACAUGUAUUGACGCUGAGACGCGAAAGCGUGGGGAGCGAACAGG